AUCAGGCUUUCGCCCAAUUGUGCAAUAUUCCCCACUGACUGCCUCCCGAUAGGAGAUCUGGGCCGUGUCUCAGUCCCAGUGUGGCCGGUCGCCCUCUCAGGCCGGCUACCCGUCGAUCGCCUUGGUAGGCCAUUACCCCACCAACAAGCUGAUAGGCCGCGGGCUCAUCCUUCACCGCCGGAGCUUUUAACCCCGUCCCAUGCGGGACAGAGUGUUAUCCGGUAUUAGACCCCGUUUCCAGGGCUUGUCCCAGAGUGAAGGGCAGAUUGCCCACGUGUUACUCACCCGUUCGCCACUAAUCCACCCCGAAGGGCUUCAUCGUUCGACUUGCAUGUGUUAAGCACGCCGCCAGCGUUCGUCCUGAGCCAGGAUCAAACUCUA
rnacentral:rRNA from 1 species